rnacentral:rRNA from 1 species
CAGCCGCCGCGGGAAUACGAAGGGGGCUAGCGUUGUUCGGAUUUACUGGGCGUAAAGCGCACGUAGGCGGAUCCUUAAGUCAGAGGUGGAAUCCCAAGGCUCAACCUUGGAACUGCCUUUGAUACUGGGGAUCUCGAGUUCGGGAGAGGUGAGUGGAACUGCGAGUGUAGAGGUGAAAUUCGUAGUUAUUCGCAAGAACACCAGUGGCGAAGGCGGCUCACUGGCCCGACACUGACGCUGAGGUGCGAAAGCGUGGGGAGCAAACAGGAUUAGAGACCCCCGUAGUCCCUGUCUCUUAUAA